AAUCAGCAAUAAGUUAAACAAAGACUUUCAUAGCGAAAAACAUAGACGAGGAAAGAACUCAAAAAGUUACCGUCUAGUCACAGGACAUGCACAAACUGUACUGUAUAUGUGUUGAGGAGCGAUGGAUGGAUGAAGGGAUGGAUGGUUGAGGUCA